CUGACCAUAAUCUACUCUAUUCACCAGGAAGCUUCCGGAGUCCUGCCCAAGUCCACCUCCUCUUGACUUUUGAUUGACAGCUUGGGGGCUGUAUGACUGCCUCCAAGAGGAAGUAACCUGCAAGUAAGUGCAGCGAAGGCCCCGCUGAAUCUCCCAACCACUGGAGGUCAGAGUUCAUCACAUCAGGUACUUUCCUCCAAGAAGAUGUAU
rnacentral:lncRNA from 1 species